rnacentral:miRNA from 10 species
GUGGGUUUCUAGGCGCAUUAUUUUC